GCAGCAUGCGCAGUUGGAAAAAUCCCCUUUUAUCAAUGCGAAUACUCCGAUUUGAGGAAGUUUGAACUGUUUUUGCUACCCGUUGAAGCGGGCAAUUUGCUCCCUCAGUCCCCGUAUCCCUAUUGCUUACAUUUGGCUUAAAGCAGUACAGCAAAGCAUUGGUGCUGAGUGAAGUAGAAGACAUGCUGGGCAACAGUAUAGAUGAGAACGGAAGCACAAGAGAGGAAAACGUCUGCAGCAGUGCUCCAUUUGAUUUCAACACGGCACCCUGUGUGGAUUUACCUAACAAACAGCAAUGGUGUUGAAGAAAACUUCUCUGCCUUUGCUGAAAAUCACCCGUUUGUCUGCAUGCACCAUUGAUAUUCUAGCUGCACAAUCGGGUCACCAGACUUGAUUGGAAUGAAAUCUGGGGCAUCGGCGGCAGAGAUUCGCAUCUCCUGAGAAUCAUCUGACUGACAAAGAUUGAGUGGAUGUCCUUCCCUGAAAGACAACUGGCUCCUCAGCCUCAUGCCUGCCCUCUCUCAGAGCAUGCACGGUGACUCUGUUGACCCAAUCCAACCCAUCUUUCUUUCUGUGUCAGAGAGGGGGGCGUCCCCUACUUGAACCCAACAUCGCAAACCAAUAGCAAGGACCCCAGUCUCUCACUGAGCCACUGCCACCCAGACAGCCAGGCUGAGUGGCAGAGAGGGAGGCAGCGAUGGAGGGAGGAGUCUGGAGCUCCAUCCACUGACUGCUGUGUGUGCUGUUUUGACCUCUCCAAUCUCCCCUGCCAUGAUCUCCUGGGUGCUCCUGCUCCUAUGGAUCUCCGGACA